rnacentral:rRNA from 1 species
AGCGAACGCUAGCGGCAGGCUUAACACAUGCAAGUCGAGCGCCAGGUUUCGGCCUGGAGCGGCGAACGGGUGAGUAACACGUAGGUCACGUACCCUAUGGUGGGGAAUACCCCGGGGAAACUCGGAUCAAUGCCCCAUAUGUCCGAAAGGAUGGAAGCGCUUCGGCGCGCCAGAGGAUCGGCCUGCGGCCCAUUAUUUAAUCCUAGUUGGUGAGGUAACGGCUCACCAAGGGUACGAUGGGUAGCUGGUCUGAGAGGACGAUCAGCCACACUGGAACUGAGACACGGUCCAGACUCCUACGGGAGGCAGCAGUGGGGAAUAUUGGACAAUGGGCGAAAGCCUGAUCCAGCCAUGCCGCGUGAGUGAUGAAGGCCUUCGGGUUGUAAAGCUCUGUCGUGGGGGAAGAAGUUCUGACGGUACCCCACAAGAAAGCACCGGCUAACUCCGUGCCAGCCGCCGCGGUAAAAC